GGGCCUUGGCAGCUGCCAGGGGGAGUGGAGCUCAUGCAGAAAAGCUCCAUGGAGAUACCUGGGUGCCUGCGCUGCUGCUGGAUGAAGUGCACCAGCAUUAAAAAGGAGCAGAAAGAUGCAGACUCUUUGAGUGCCUUGUAACCCCUGGGUGUAGGAGCUGGCAGGGAGAAGAGGUACUUCCCAGUUGGGAAGCAACAUUGACAGCGAGCCUUACCUUGAGCAAGCAAGCGCCACCCCCGUGAAUGUAGGGCAAGGAAAGCUGCCUUAUGUUCAUGAGAGAACUAGCUCAUUGCCAGCUCCCCCCAGGAAGGUGCCGUCUUAGGCAGGCAGAUCCCUUCCCAUCUGCUCCCUCCUGCACAAGCAGGCUGAAAACACAAGUCAUCCAGCUGAGGAAAACAGAGAGGCAUCCUUAUAAUUAACUACUGUCUACUCCAGGCAGCUGAGCUACAUCCCAGUCCAAUUUUAGACUGGCACUGUAGAAAUUAGCAAUGAAGAAAAAAAAAAAAAAAAGAGAAA